UGGGGAAUUUUGGGCAAUGGGCGAAAGCCUGAUCCAGCCAUGCCGCGUGAGUGACGAAGGCCUUAGGGUUGUAAAACUCUUUCGUCGGGGACGAUAAUGACGGUACCCGAAGAAGAAGCUCCGGCUAACUUCGUGCCAGCAGCCGCGGUAAUACGAAGGGAGCUAGCGUUGUUCGGAAUCACUGGGCGUAAAGCGCACGUAGGCGGAUAGUUAAGUCAGGGGUGAAAUCCCUCGGCUCAACCGGGGAACGACGUAUGAAACUGGCAAGCUAGAGUACCAAAGAGGGUGGUGGAAUUCCCGGUGUAGCAGUGAAAUGCGUAGAUAUGCGGAGGAACACCGAUGGCGAAGGCAAUCCCCUGGACCUGUACUGACGCUCAUGCACGAAAGCGUGGGGAGCAAACAGGAUUAGAUACCCCAGUAGUCCCUGAGCGGGCUGGCAAGGCGCAU
rnacentral:rRNA from 1 species